UUUAACGGCCGCGGUAUUUUGACCGUGCAAAGGUAGCAUAAUCAUUAGUCUUUUAAUAGGAGGCUGGAAUGAAGGGUUUGACGAGGUGUUGACUGUCUCAUUUAAUUUGAAAUUAAAAUUUAACUUUUCAGUUAAAAGGCUGAAAUUAUAUUGGAAGACGAGAAGACCCUAUAGAGCUUUAUAGUUAUAGUUCUAAUUAAUUAUUGUUUAAUUAUUAUUUUUUAUAAUUAUGUCUAUUUUGUUGGGGUGACAAAAAUAUAAAAGUAACUUUUUUAUUUAGUGUUCAUUGAUUUAUGAACUUUAGAUCCAAUUUUAUUGAUUGUUAGAAUAAGUUACCUUAGGGAUAACAGCGUAAUCUUCCUUCAGAGUUCAUAUUUACAGGAAGGAUUGCGACCUCGAUGUUGGAUUAAGAUAAUAAUUAGGUGUAGCCGCUUAAUUUAUAGGUCUGUUCGACCUUUAAACUCUUACAUGAUCUGA
rnacentral:rRNA from 1 species